AGAGUUUGAUCAUGGCUCAGAACGAACGCUGGCGGCAGGCCUAACACAUGCAAGUCGAGCGCUACCUUCGGGUGGAGCGGCGGACGGGUUAGUAACGCGUGGGAACAUACCCUUUUCUACGGAAUAGCCUCGGGAAACUGAGAGUAAUACCGUAUAAGCCCUUCGGGGGAAAGAUUUAUCGGGAAAGGAUUGGCCCGCGUUAGAUUAGAUAGUUGGUGGGGUAAUGGCCUACCAAGUCUACGAUCUAUAGCUGGUUUUAGAGGAUGAUCAGCAACACUGGGACUGAGACACGGCCCAGACUCCUACGGGAGGCAGCAGUGGGGAAUCUUAGACAAUGGGCGAAAGCCUGAUCUAGCCAUGCCGCGUGAGUGAUGAAGGUCUUAGGAUCGUAAAGCUCUUUCGCUAGGGAUGAUAAUGACAGUACCUAGUAAAGAAGCCCCGGCUAACUCCGUGCCAGCAGCCGCGGUAAUACGGAGGGGGCUAGCGUUGUUCGGAAUUACUGGGCGUAAAGCGUACGUAGGCGGAUCAGAAAGUAUGGGGUGAAAUCCCAGGGCUUAACCCUGGAACUGCCUCAUAAACUCCUGGUCUUGAGUUCGAGAGAGGUGAGUGGAAUUGCGAGUGUAGAGGUGAAAUUCGUAGAUAUUCGCAGGAACACCAGUGGCGAAGGCGGCUCACUUGGCUCGAUACUGACGCUGAGGUACUGAAAGUGUGGGCAGCAAACAGGUCNAGAUACCCUGGUAGUCCACACCCGUAAACGAUGAAUGCCAGUCGUCGGGCAGUAUACUGUUCGGUGACACACCUAACGGGAUUAAGCAUUCCCGCCUGGGGAGUACGGUCGCAAGAUUAAAACUCAAAGGAAUUCGACGGGG
rnacentral:rRNA from 1 species